rnacentral:rRNA from 1 species
UACAGAGGGGGCAAGCGUUGUCCGGAGUUACUGGGCGUAAAGCGCACGCAGGCGGUUGUGCAAGUGGGAUGUGAAACCACCGUGCUUAACACGGUGACGCCAUGCCAAACUGCACGACUUGAGUGGUGGAGAGGUUGUUCGAAUUGCCGGUGUAGUGGUGAAAUGCGUAGAGAUCGGCAGGAAGACCAAGGGCGAAAGCAGACAACUGGCCACCAACUGACGCUCAGGCGCGAAAGCGUGGGGAGCGAACUGG